AUUAUAGUGGCAGACGAAUGCAUAGAUUUUAAGCGUCUACAAUAAGAUUUAUCUUCUAUU
rnacentral:tRNA from 1 species